UAUGACAUCCAGAGCUGGAGGGAAUGUGCACAAUUCUUCCAGAGGGCUUCCAGCUGUACCUUUAGGACUGACUUAAAUGUUUUCCCUUUGUGUAUCUGUAGGCAUUUUACCAUUUUCCUUUGGUGCUCAAGCUCUAAAAAGUAACUCUACAGCAAACUGCAGGGUGUAGUGGAGACAUGGCCUUCAUCACUGCCUGCUGCCCACCUUCCUCAGCAGCUUGGUAGCUUGUGGUUUCCCACUGUAGCUGAUGUCUCAACACAGCUAAAGCUUCACCAUGCUCUGUCUUAGGCAGCUUUGUGGCUUUCAUGCUCUCAAGCACGUUUCAAUCUGCUUUUCCCUUCCCAUUUCACUGUGCUCCUUUUCAAAGUGGUGCUUGUGGACAGAGAGGCCUUGAAAAGGAUGAGCCCAGAGCAGCAGGUUCCCUGCAGAAAUCAGAGGCAAAGGCUAAAGAAAAGGAUUACUCUGCUCGAGGGAGGCUGGGCCAGAUGACCCCCUGUGCUACCUUCCAACCUUAUCCAUUAUGUGAUUCUGUGAUUCCCAAGUGAGAGAUGUGGGUGAGAGCCCUCAGGUGAGGAGUGGGAAGAGUGGCCAGAGCUCCCUGCAGAUUUUCCAGAGCUGUAAGUGGGCUCUAUGCUACCCAUGGGGAGCAGGCAGGACAGCCUCAAAAUGUCUCUCUGCUUGGAGCUGUCUGUCCAGAAUUCCAGCACAAUAUUUUCAUAAUUGUCAGUGCUGCAUGUGAAAUAAAACUUUGUCAAAACA